rnacentral:rRNA from 1 species
CCUACGGGUGGCAGCAGUGGGGAAUAUUGCACAAUGGGGGAAACCCUGAUGCAGCGACGCCGCGUGAGUGAAGAAGUAUCUCGGUACGUAAAGCUCUAUCAGCAGGGAAGAAAAUGACGGUACCUGACUAAGAAGCCCCGGCUAACUACGUGCCAGCAGCCGCGGUAAUACGUAGGGGGCAAGCGUUAUCCGGAUUUACUGGGUGUAAAGGGAGCGUAGACGGCAGCGCAAGUCUGGAGUGAAAUCCCAUGGCUUAACCAUGGAACUGCUUUGGAAACUGUGCAGCUAGAGUGCAGGAGAGGUAAGCGGAAUUCCUAGUGUAGCGGUGAAAUGCGUAGAUAUUAGGAGGAACACCAGUGGCGAAGGCGGCUUACUGGACUGCAACUGACACUGAGGCUCGAAAGUGUGGGUAUCAAACAGGAUUAGAUACCCGGGUAGUC